rnacentral:lncRNA from 1 species
AAAUUAUAUAUGUUCAUGGUAUCACGCAUAUUUUUUACUUGAUUUUCUGAAGUACUUCACAUAUGCUCAGAACAGUGAUCAUUUUUUUGACUUGACGUUGCUGUCAUUCUUUCUUUUCUUUUGCAGAUGGAUUUUAUGCAACCAAUUUGAGGAUCUUGGAGGAAGAUAUUAGUGCGCUAACUUUAUGAUAGGUCUUCAUGCAUGUAUCAGAGGAACUACCUUUCGUCUGGUGGCAUGUACUUAAUGGUUGUUUCACCCAAAUACUGUUUUUUUAAGACUAAAAAAGUUGGAAUUCUGUAUGUUGGUUAUGAACUUAUGCAAUGAUACGAUGAAUAUGAUGGUAUUUCUUUUUAUAUUCUAA